UACGUAGGUGGCAAGCGUUGUCCGGAAUUAUUGGGCGUAAAGCGCGCGCAGGCGGUCCUUUAAGUCUGAUGUGAAAGCCCACGGCUCAACCGUGGAGGGUCAUUGGAAACUGGGGAACUUGAGUGCAGAAGAGGAAAGUGGAAUUCCAAGUGUAGCGGUGAAAUGCGUAGAGAUUUGGAGGAACACCAGUGGCGAAGGCGGGUCUCUGGACAGUUCCUGACACUGAGGCACGAAGGCCAGGGGAGCAAACGGG
rnacentral:rRNA from 1 species